rnacentral:rRNA from 1 species
GACGAACGCUGGCGGCGUGCUUAACACAUGCAAGUCGAACGAAGUGGCGAACGGGUGAGUAACGCGUAAUCAAUCUGCCCUUCAGAGGGGGACAACAGUUGGAAACGACUGCUAAUACCGCAUACUGAAGGAGGGGAUUGCGUCUGAUUGGCGAGUUGGAGGGGGAACGGCCAACCAAGGCGCAGAUCAGUAGCCGGGCUGGGGGGGUGAACGGCCACAUUGGGGCUGGGGCACGGCCCAGACUCCUUCGGGAGGCAGCAGUGGGGAAGCUUCCGCAAUGGACGGAAGUCUGGCGGAGCAACGCCGGGUGAGUGAUGAGGGCCUUCGGGUUGUAAAGCUCUGUUGGUCGGGGGGCGGUACCGGAAUAGAAAGCGACGGCUAACUACGUGCCAGCAGCCGCGGUAAUGC